rnacentral:lncRNA from 1 species
GGAAAGGCCUCUGAGACUGGCCACCAUUUUGCAAGUUUGUUUCUUUUGAAGUUUGGACUUUAUUGUUGGUGGGGGGAAGUAAAGAGGAGGAGGGGGUGCCACAUCUUCCUUUUUUUUUUUUUUCCCAACAAUCCCGCUGCAUCGUGCUCUUUUCUUAUGUGAGACCAUUUGAAGGAGCAGAACGACGGAGGAAGAAGUGCUGAACUGAGUGUCUCAAGAAUCUCACAGGCCUUGGGGAAAAGGAUGAGGAAACAGAUCAUCUUGACAGUGUGAUGUCAUCUGAUGACUGCAAUCUGGCCAUCAGGGCAGGCUACUUGGAAGAGGAGGCAUACGAACUACGAACAUGGCCUUAAUUUUGGAGCCUUUAAUGGUAACCAGUCCUUCCCCUUUGUGCGACUGGCUUUCCUCCCAUGGAAGAUUGCACUGCACUUUCCCCUACUUAACGCCAGUCAGCCUGUGACCUCCUCUCCAAUUUACUGAUCCUGAUUCACAUCCUCCACCUUUUCUCCCACUGAGAAGAAACAGCCAACUUUCGGACUUUCAAACCUCCUGGAAAGAGGCCAAGCUUCCAUAAACUCCAGAAUAUUAUUGUGUGAAUUAAAAUAUUCACAUGGUAUCAACCACGCAGUUACUCCAACAUUUAUUUUGGAAAAUAUUACAUUUGGAAAAUGGGAAAUAUUCCAGAGCAUUCUCUUACCUUGAAAUAUCAGUAGACACAGGGGAUUUAGAGAACAUUUCUUGCUCAAAAGUUAGCAAACAAUCUGUACAAUUAGAUACAUAAAAUUGCCUUAAAUAACAUUAGUUAAGGACUCUGGGGCUUAAAAAAUGCCUAUAGAAUAUUUGUGGAGAAAUUUGGGGCCAAAGACUGCAAUUCUAGCUCGCUGAAGCAAACUUUCAAAAACAUUUUGAGUUAAAUCCCAGUUGGCUCUUAUUGCACAUUUCUCUUCCAAUCACUGAUGAUUAGACCUUGCUCGGUUGCACAUUUUCCAAAAUCUUACAUGCUUCAAACUUCAUCCCUUUGGCUACGAGAGGCAAAGCAGUCUAGAGCCCUAGUGAGAACUCUAUCUAAACCAAAAGCCCCAGACAUGUAGGGGCCCAGGCGGCCCAUCACAUUUCCCUUACUCUCCUUUCCCUUCCAUCUGUUUCUCCUCAGCUCGAUUUUGUAAUGCUAAAGCCACAAGACAAGAGUGUCUGAGGUCAGCUGUCCCAGAGGGAUCUUGUUGUUGCACCUCUUUCUUUAAUGUGGCUCUGCUCCCAUUGCCUAUGCUCUGUUUGCAGUGGCCAGAAUACAAGUGAGAUUGGAAGGCUUUGGGAAAAAAGGCCUGGAAUGAUGGACAGGUUGCAGUCCUUCUUGUGUGUUCUUUCAGCCUUUGAAACUUGAUAAUUCCUGAAAUGUAUCCCAUUUAUUAAAAAGAACCACCCCCCCAACACACGUGUGAGUGUGCAUGUGUGUGUGUGUGUGUGUGUGUAAAUGAAUAAAGAGCAAGUAGGACAUAUGCCA